rnacentral:rRNA from 1 species
AUACGGAGGAUGCAAGCGUUAUCCGGAUUCACUAGGUUUAAAGGGUGUGUAGGCGGAAUUGUAAGUCAGUGGUGAAAGCUUGCGGCUUAACCGUAAAAUUGCCAUUGAUACUGCAGUUCUUGAGUUCGGCUGAGGUAGGCGGAAUGAGUAAUGUAGCGGUGAAAUGCUUAGAUAUUACUCAGAACACCGAUUGCGUAGGCAGCUUACCAAACCGACACUGACGCUGAGGCACGAAAGCGUGGGGAGCGAACAGGAUUAGAUACCCUGGUAGUCCACGCCGUAAACUUUGAUUACUCGUUGUUGGCAAUACACCGUCAGCGACUGAGCGAAAGCAUUAAGUAAUCCACCUGGGGAGUACGUCAGCAAUGAUGAA